GUAUGGACCGAGCGUUGUCCGGAAUCAUUGGGCGUAAAGGGUACGUAGGCGGCCUAGUAAGUUAGAAGUUAAAGAAUAUAGCUCAACUAUAUAAAGCUUUUAAAACUGCUAGGCUUGAGAGAUGGAAGGGAAAGUGGAAUUCCUAGUGUAGCGGUGAAAUGCGCAGAUAUUAGGAAGAAUACCGGUGGCGAAGGCGACUUUCUGGUCAUCAUCUGACGCUGAGGUACGAAAGCGUGGGUAGCAAACAGGAUUAGAUACCCUGGUAGUCCACGCUGUAAACGAUGAGUGUUAGGUUCUUGGAAUAAUCUGGGAGCCGCAGCUAACGCAUUAAACACUCCGCCUGGGGAGUACGCACGCAAGUGUG
rnacentral:rRNA from 1 species